UACGGGGGGGGCAAGCGUUUGUUCGGAAUUACUGGGCGUAAAGGGCUCGUAGGCGGCCAACUAAGUCGGAUGUGAAAUCCCCAGGCUUAACCUGGGAACUGCAUCCGAUACUGGAUGGCUUGAAUUCGGGAGAGGGAUGCAGAAUUCCAGGUGUAGCGGUGAAAUGCGUAGAUAUCUGGAGGAAUACCGGUGGCGAAGGCGGCAUCCUGGACCGAGAUUGACGCUGAUGAGCGAAAGCUAGGGGAGCAAACGGGG
rnacentral:rRNA from 1 species